AAAAUAAGCUUGUUUUUACCGAAGAUAGCCGGUGUUCGAUAGCGAACUUAAUUUCCUGCUGAGGCAACCAGUUUGUUUUUUGUUCUGGUUAAACACCUCGGCAAGAGGUGUUUUUUUUUGAUAAA
rfam:Microgenomates bacterium 39_6 MPI_scaffold_1089, whole genome shotgun sequence.